AUUCCCACUCUAUUGCAGUACUCGCACUAAAAGCACAAAGUAUACUCCAAUCCAUUUCCCUCAUCCUCUCUCUCAAUCCUCCGACGAGAAAUCCGUCCAAGUUUUCAUCAGAUCUCCAGAUUCCACCCUCCGUUUCCUGUUUCCCCUGUACUUUGAAAAUCAUCAUCCCAUCGGAAGUUCUCCGCACGGUUGCUGCCGUUUUCUUACCGUUUCAGCUAGGUAAAUUUUGUUUCGUACAGCUCUUUCUUUACUUUCAUUUCUCUGUUUGACUUGGCAAGGAUCGACUUCUGCUUUUGCUGGCUUCGUCGCUGGUGCAAGUUUGGUUGAUCGUUGAUUCGCUUUGUUGCUUUAGUGUUUCCAGCUGCUUAUUAUGCUUAGAUCUGUGUUUUUAUCUGCAGUGAAGGCUGCCUCUAUCGCUUAAUUUUGAAUCAGGAGUAGAAACAACAUGCCGUGGACAUCUUCUUUCGUCAACUACAGCAGUACCUCUGUUCGAUUGGUGGUGUUCUUCCGUGUCAUUCUGUAAAUUCGGUUUCUGCUUUGCAUUGUAAGUGGUGUAUAUUUCAGAUACUGUAUUUGAAGAUAUGAUGAUGAUGCCUCGCUGAAUUAUCUUGAUUGGUGGAUUAGCUUGAAUGUUGAUUUGUUUGUAUGGCUGAUGCAGGUAGUUUUUGUUGAUUUUCCAAGCUAUACUUCAACUAUAUAAGCGGGGUUCUAUAUUGAGAAUGUACUUAGGGGCAAAGGGACUCAGAGAACUGAAGGAAAUAGCGAAGACUAAUAUGAUUGUUGGGGUUGUUGCGUAUUGCCGAGUGAUGCAAAUUUGUCAGGUAAGAAACUCUUGUUAGUCUAUCACGUGGCUGUUUGGCGAGUUUUCUGUGCGAUUUCAAUCCAUUUUCUUUAUUUAGUGCUUAAAUUGGACAAGAGAGUAUGAUGGGUCAACAAUUAGUUAUCAUAACUGUUUCUUGGUUGGUUUUCAUGCUUCAAGUUCUGUGCUGAUGUAGCUUACUCUUCGCUCAGUUGUGAUCUUGAUAUCCUGCUGAAGAAUUAUUAUUGAUGCGGGUGCUUUUGCUCUAUUCUGAUUGUAAUGCAGGCUGAAUAUUUUCGACAGUUGCUAAAACCUGUUACGUAGUCUAGUAGAACACCACAAGCUCCAGUGAUUAGAGGGACAUAAUCGCCUUCUGGUUGUUUGAUAUACUAAAGGGAAGUGAACGGAGACAAGGGUAUGGUAAUGGUGGGUUUUUCAUUUGGAAUAAACAUCUGUUAAGCAGGAGGGUUGAUAGCUUGGUUUGCUAGUUUCUCAAGUCGUCAGUUUAGGAGUCUUCGUCACUUUUAACAAUCUGAAAUUUGCUGCCUUGAUCGAUCGAGAGCCAAAUCCAUUUUCUUGUGGGUAGAGAAACCAAUUUCUGAUGCAUAGAGAUCAAAGGUUCCACCCAAAGGCAGUGCCCCCAGGUGCCUAUCAAUGGGGUGAUAACUACAUGAAUCUUCCGGUUCCAUCUUCCUUUCCCGAGGUGCUACCUCCACCAAUAUAUGGUGUUGAAUUUCAGCCAUCUGAGGCCUGCCCGAAGAAUUUCGUGAUUGUCGAUCAGACAGAUCACCGCAGCCAAAUCAUGUUCAAUCCUGCAUUUGCGCACAAAUUCCCUGCUACCAAUUUCAAUGGUUAUUCCUCUGGGUUCAUGCACGAGAGCUAUCCGAGGAAAGAUGUCCGUAAGGUAGAAAAAGAAUUGUCAGACCUGAAGGAAGAUUCUGAUGACAUUGAUGCACUGUUAAGCCUGGAUGACAUUCGUGACAACGACGAGGAGGAUGGAGUCUACGACGAAGAUGAGGUGAGCACAGCCAGGACAUAUGGAACUUACGGGAGCAGCUCCCCAGAAUCUUGUUCCAACUACAACUACAACAAUUCCAGGAGCAAUGCUUGCUCGUCUUCUUCUGCCCAUGGAAGUAGCAGUGAGACGAAACAGCUGAAGAUGAAGAGGAUGUUGAAGGCACUGAGGGGCAUCAUUCCCGGCGCGGACCAAAUGAAUACUGUAACUGUUAUAGAUGAAGCAAUCAGGUACCUCAAAUCUAUCAAGGUCGAAGCCGAGAAGCUCGGAGUAGCGAAUAUGGAAGACUACAACUAAAGUGAAAGCUCUACUUCCUCGAUACAGGUAAUAUCUUGUAUAUCAUUUUCAAACACUCAUCCUACCUCUCCCCUUAGCAGGUCCUCCGCCAUUAGCACCAGAAUAAAUGACUGCUGCAUAUUAUGUACUCACGGUCCCCAUAUAGGAACCCUUUAUUCUGCUUGGUCUUUUCACUAUUGCUCUCUGCUCUGUUUGCCUUUUCUUUGUGAUGAUUUUGUAUUGUACUACUUUCAACUUUCUAUGAUAACGGUUUGCUAUUUUAUAUUCCUUGUUUCUCCUGGGCGGUGUUUCGAUUGUUUUCCUCCUCUUGCUAUUAAAAAACUUGCUCGACUUCCUUUAGACUCUGCACUCUGCACCUAACUGUAGUGAUGUUGUCAACCUUGUGGCUGGAUUUUGUGAAACAUGAAGAUCACAAACGUGCACUUUCAUAUAUAUAUAUUGAAUGUUUAUGCUAAGUGCCUCAUAGCUUACUGUUCCUGUAAGUAGAAAUGAUGUGGGUGUGUGUUGUCAGUGGAGCACCAGAACAAUAAAAUAGAAUUAGGGGUGGCCAUUAUGAUUCUAUUCAUUCAACCGACUGGGUGCUAGCUAGACAUGGCUUGAUGAAGUUUUCAUCAUUGAUGGUAGCUCGUGACUCCAUAUAAGAAAUUAAAAAGCCCAUAAUAGUAUUUUUUUUUUAGAUCCUAUUACUUAUAGUUGAAUGGUUGCUGCAAUUUAGUAGCUAGUCAAUUAACUUAUUAACCAUUUAUUCAUUUAACUAGUUACAAAAGAUUAUAAUAAUUAGUAACAAACAAUUAUGAUUGGUUAUUUAUAAAGUUUUACCGGAAAAUUCAUCGGAGGUUACCCUGCCGGUUGCUGAAGACACGUGGUGGGUUUUAAGCUCUCGUUUUGUCUACUGGUCACAUCUUGCAUGUAAGCGUCAAAGCACCAAGUAAAGAGCAAAAUUAGGAUGAUUGAAUUUGGCAAAAACGAUGUCGAAGGGGGUGAGGUAAAUGUAAAAUACACUGAGAAGUGAGGAGUGGAAAAACCUUGGCAGGCCCCAUAGAAACUGCUCCCACUACACGCGUGCUCCCGCAAUCCGACGGCCCACAACUAUUUCCGCAUUAUACGGGAUGGGUGCUCCGAUGCCUCCACUCCUCCCAUUUUUUUCCUGAACCCCUCCGGUCCCCUGUUCCCCCAUUUGCUCUUCUUAAUUUUAUUAGUGGGAGGCAUUAGGUUUGGAGCGAGCUAGUUUAAUCGGUAAAGUUGUAUGUUAGUGAACGAAAAUAUUUCCGUUUGAUCAUGUCUCGCAAAAAAAAUACAUGUGUAAUGUUUCUUAUUUUACUCUUUAUCUCAGCAAAGAAAUACAUGUUGUAUUGGUAUUUAGCCGUGUUUUCAAAAUCAUAUUGCAUUGGAGAAUGAUUCGGAGUAUGAUCGAUUAUUAUAUUAUAAAAAUACCUGUCAAUGACAUUUUCAUCAUAGUUAAACAAUUGUCAAUUGAAUCAAAAUAGCUUCAUUGGCUACUAAUUUUCUAGAGGGUUUUGAAAGUACAUAAGAGCUCAAGAUAGUUGAGAAUAAAGGAAAUGUGGAAAAAAUGUUUGUUUACAAAAUGUGGAAAAAACAUGUAAAUCUAAGAAUCAUAUUCCUUUACAAAUACACUCAUAUCUCUCGUAUGCCAAAUGACAUUAGAUUUGCAUUUCCAAUUCGAUAACUCACUAAUUAUUUUUUAGACUCUCGGUCAAUAAAAGAUGGAAGAUAGAAACUAAAUACUAUAUCGGUGUCCAUUUUAUAAGAUGUGUUGAAUUCGAACCUGAAAACUCCAUAUCAUCAUAUACACAGCUCUAUCGCCGGAACAGCUCUUUCUUGGUACAGUUGCCUUUAAAUCACCCUAUAACAUUGUUUCGUUAGCACUAACCUAUAUUUUAAACUUUUUGUAAGUGAAAGAAAUUUUUUAAUAGUAAAAAAUGAAAUUUCAAACGAAAUACACGCGAAGUUGUUUCCCUUUCGGGAAUAUUUCAGAGAUAAAAAUCUGCCAUUCCCACUCUGUUGUACACUCCAAUCCAUUUCCCUCCUCCUCUCUCUCAAUCCUCCGACGAGAAAAUCCGUCCAAGUUCUCAUCAGAUCUCUAGCUUCCACCCUCCGUUUCCUGUUCCCUCUGUACUCCGACAAUCAUCAUCCCAUUGGAAGCUCGCCGUACGUUUGCUCCCGCUUUUUUACCGUUUCAGCUAGGUAAAUGAUCUUGUUCCGUAUAGCUCUUCUUUAUUCCAUUUCUCUGUUGAAUUUGCAAGGAUCGCCUUCUGCUUUCGCUGACUUCGUCGCUGUGCAAAUUUCGGCGAUCGUUGAUUCGCUUGGUUGCUUUGGUGUUUCCAGCUUCUUCUGCAGUGAAGACUGCCGCUAUCGGUUAAUUUUGGAUCAGGAGAAGAAACAACAUGCCGUGGACAUCUUCUUUCGUCAACUACAGCAGUACCUCUGUUCGAUUGGUGGUGUUCUUCCGUGUCAUUCUGUAAAUUCGGUUUCCGCUCUGCACUGUAAGUUCCUCCUGGACACUAAUCUGUAGAUGGUGUAUAUUUCCGAUACUGUAUUUAAAGAUGUGAUAACGUCUCUCUGAAU
rnacentral:lncRNA from 1 species